UACGUAGGGUGCAAGCGUUGUCCGGAAUUAUUGGGCGUAAAGAGCUCGUAGGCGGUUUGUUGCGUCGGCUGUGAAAACCUGAGGCUCAACCUCAGGCCUGCAGUCGAUACGAGCAGACUAGAGUGUUGCAGGGGAGACUGGAAUUCCUGGUGUAGCGGUGAAAUGCGCAGAUAUCAGGAAGAACACCCGUGGCUAAGGCGGCUCUCUAGUACGGUACUGACGCUGAGACGCGAAAAGCGUGGGGAGCGAACAGG
rnacentral:rRNA from 1 species